GUGCUCGCUUCGGCAGCACAUAUACUAAAAAAUUGGAACGAUACAGAGAAGAUUACCAUGGCCCCUGCGCAAGGAUGACACGCAAGUUCAUGAAGCGUUCCAUAUUUUU
rnacentral:snRNA from 1 species